rnacentral:misc_RNA from 1 species
GGGAAAAUCACUGCUUCCAUAACCUAUCAAAAUUCACCUAAUUCCAUUUUACUAUUUUAGCUUAUUUCAUCUCUGGCUAAGCAAUCCACCAUCGUGCAAAAAAUUAUUUGUAGUUCCUAAGUUGUCUUAAGCCUUGACUAAAAAUUUAAAAGAUAAAUAAUCCAACCGUUCAUAUUUUCCUUUGCCUCUACUUCCAAGCAAGUGACACUACUAGAUUCAACUUAUGCAUAAUUCCCAACUUAACUAAACAAUUCCCCCACCACAAUAGAUAAACUGUUCAAAACAACAGAGAAAACCGUCACAAUUUUAGAAUAAAGAAAAAUAAAAGGUCCCCA